rnacentral:rRNA from 1 species
UGAUGGGGGGAUCCUGAGUGCUUACAUUUUAUGUAAGCUUUUGCCAAGAGUUCACAUCUUGGAGAAUAAGUGGUGGGAAAGACCGGUGCCAGCAGCCGCGGUAACCCCGGCGCCACGAGUGGCAAUCUUAUAUUGGGCCUAAAGCAUUCGUAGCAGGUUUGAAAAAUCCUUUGUGAAAUUGUUGAACUCAAUACAACAGCAUGCAGGGGACACUUUCAGACUAGAGACUGGGAGGAGUUGGGGGUAUGCCUUGGGGAGCGGUUAAAUGUGAUAAUCCAAGGUAGACCACCUGUGGCGAAGGCGCCCAACUAGAACAGUUCUGACUGUGAGGGAUGAAAGCUAGGGGAGCGAUCCGG